GACCCACUUAACUGCGUCGAAAAGUAAGUUUGUAAUGUUUUCAUACAAACAAUUUAUUAAUCCAAUGAAAAAAAUAAUUGUACAUAUAAUUUGACAUAGUCUACGACGUCACAAAUAAAUUCAUGCUUCUGAGGUGACGCUAUUUCGGAUUUUGCCGAACUAGACUUGGCACUUGCCUCAAAAGGCCUACUUCCGGAAUGAUACCAAAACGAAAACAAGAAUAACAUCAUGCUCUUGACAUUGUAAAAAUUGAUGAAACAGAUUUAUUACAUUCUCAAUGGAGAGGACAUCAAGUUCUUUUACUAGUGAGCCCGGUAAGGACCUCUCUUUGUUCCUAAUGAAAGCAUAUCUUUGAAAACCUCGGGAGAGACUCAUGAGGAAUCUUCUUAUGUCCUAAUACAGAUAGCAAGUAUAAUGAUGUGAGGAUGUGA